rfam:Candidate division TM6 bacterium GW2011_GWF2_38_10 TS69_C0001, whole genome shotgun sequence.
GGAGAGGUGGCAGAGCGGUUGAAUGCGGCGGUCUUGAAAACCGUUAUUCCGGGAGACCGGAAUCGGGAGUUCGAAUCUCCCCCUCUCCA